rnacentral:rRNA from 1 species
AUUGAACGCUGGCGGCAGGCCUAACACAUGCAAGUCGAACGAUUGUCGUCCUGGUUAUUAAUUUCUGGGAAACUGCCCGAUGGAGGGGGCUAACUACUGGAAACGGUAGCUAAUACCGCCUACCAUCCGAUUUGCCCAUAUGGUCUUAGCUAGUAGGUGGAGUAACGGCUCACCUAGGCGACGAUCCCUAGCUGGUCUGAGAGGAUGACCAGCCACACUGGAACUGAGACACGGUCCAGACUCCUACGGUAGGCAGCAGUGGGGAAUAUUGCACAAUGGGCGCAAGCCUGAUGCAGCCAUGCCGCGUGUAUGAAGAAGGCCUUCGGGUUGUAAAGUACUUUCAGCGAGGAGGCGUUAAGAGAAGAAGAAGAACAGGCUAACUCCGUGCCAGCAGCCGCGGUAAUAG